CAUGAUUGUUGUGUAGAGAAGAACUUCCAGCGGCAUGUGCUACGACUGCUGAACACGCUUCGCUUCAUGCUGGAACAGCAAGCGGACACCCUGAACAAGUUGUGCGAUAUGCUUCCCACUUCUUCAGUCACCGAAUGCGCAGAGCUCUUAGGCCAUCCGCUAAGCAGUCUUGAAGAACUACAAGAGUUCGACGACAAGCUCGAUGCUGGAAAAUUUAAGAUCCUGGUUCAUGAGUUGGCACAGCUUGGUGGGAAAGAUGCCUACUGGGCAACAAAAAGAAUCUUGUCAUACUGCAUCACA